CAGGCAGUUGGAAAGGCCGGCCUCGCAUACCGGUAAUGGCGGGUUAAUCUGCAAGAAAAAUUCGGAACCCUUGCCCGUCGUCCGUUUACUUACUAGAAGUUACAGGUAGUAUGUACGCCGGCCAUUUUCCGGGUUCGGGAAA
rnacentral:misc_RNA from 1 species